GGGGCUGAUUCUGGAUUCGACGGGAUUUGCGAAACCCAAGGUGCAUGCCGAGGGGCGGUUGGCCUCGUAAAAAGCCGCAAAAAAUAGUCGCAAACGACGGCGGAAUACAAACAGUUUCAGCUAACGGAGAGGCAAUAAAAACAAAGAUCAAUGAAGGCGGUACGCUGACAGUCAACGAUAAUGGCAAAGCGACAGAUAUCGUCCAGAACAGCGGUGCCG
rnacentral:tmRNA from 1 species